ensembl:lncRNA
ACAAGUAAUAAAUCUUAGGCUGUAAGAUUUUAGAGGAAUUUAAAUGUACAGGUAAAAAAUCUUUGAAAAAAUAUGACAUGAUAUCAUCUUGUCUAUUUCAAAAGGAUUUUUGUUUAGACUUAAAUGGUCCAAGAUAUUUUCAUGAAUUUCUGAAAUACUUAAACAGUGGUUUUUUUUUUACCCAAAGUGACCAGAAGAGUUCAGAAGCACCUCUUCAUUCUAUUUAUGUAUAGUUUUAUUGGAAAUGUUUAAAAUAGAAAAAUAUUUCUGUGUGAGAGAGCAUGUUCAUGUGUGCCACUGAAGAGAAGAGGUGGGACUUCUUCUCUAUGAAACGUUGGGUCUGAAGAGGUCACUUGAUACAAACUGGAAGGAAUAAAAGCCCUAAGGGUAUGUUGAAUGAAGUCCUGCCCGCAUGCUGUCCUGUGAUAUGACUGUCAAUGAAUGGUGACAUAUCUCCUGUCACUUGAGAAUGUGAAAAUCAGGGCCAAGCAGAAGUAGGUUUGCCAAAAUGAAAGCUUUUAAUAAAAUGUCUGUAAGGUGAACUUAGAUGUUAGAUGUUAGUUUGUAAAUGUCUUUGUGGCUCUGUUGUUUCACUGAAUUAUCUAUUUUGCCAAAAAACAAACAAACAACAACAACAAAACCACUCCAUUUGCUACAGUCACUGUGUGCUUUAGAGGAACUUGUAAGAGUGGUGUGACCAAGAGUCAGUGCUUGUUCUAGCUGUCUGCUCUUGGUAAAUCUCAGACUAAGGAAUUGUGAAAUGGUUCAUAACUUGAAGCUAGUGAGAGUUACUGGAUGGGAACUGAACAGCAAGGAUUUCCCAGAUUUCACAGGCGUGGGGCUUUCUGACUUAGAAACGCUGAAUUAUUUCACUUAAGUUGCUGAAAGUAUCUCCACUGUUUCUGGAAUAUUGAGUUACACAAUACCAGUGCUGUCACUGUGUGUAGCCCGUUCUGCUGCAGCCUUGCUAACAUUCCUGGGGCAUGAGUGGAUGGCUACCGAGCAGGAGGUAUGCUCAGCAUCACAGCGGGCAGAGGCAGCUGAUUUAACAGCAUCUCGGUUAUUAAAUCUACUCCUACAGGGUCACCAAAACCAACCUGUAGGAAAUAACAAGUCUCAGCUCGCUACGUGCAAAGGCAGCUCUUGCCUACUGCAGCCAACAGGAGCAUUUGGGGCUUUGGAUUAAUUAUAAAGCACUGUUAUUAAACUUCUAAUGAAAUGAUUCAGAAGAGAUUGACAUAGGAACUGUUGGUCUUUAAAGUUCUUGUUCUAUUUCAGAACACAGUCAACAUCUUUAUUAACACAGUCCUGUGUUUGCUCUCAGGCAAAAUGAGAUGAACUGAGCACCUGUGCAAACCGGAGCAGUGAUUGCAACAGCAUGCAGUUAUACGAUGUGUACCUGGCGCUGUACUGCACGGAUGUCAGCCUUAAAAUACCAGCACCGAGGUCCUAAUUAAAACAUGCACGUUGUUUGGCAACCAGUAGCAUUUGAAAUCAAGGAUUCACAGGAUCAGGCUUUUCUCUCAGAUCUUGUCUCCUCUGCAUUCCAAGUGAACUGAUUGAUUACUUUUGGAUGAGAUUUGGACAUUGAUUGAAAGAGCAGAAGAAGAGUAGUAUCACCUUGGGCUUACUUCUGAGGAAUGCACUAAAUGUGUACUCCAUGCUUUAACAACAAUGACGCCAACCUAAAAUUGAUGAGCAGAUCUAUGAAGAAAAGCCUAGAAAAGAAUAGCACAGGGAACGCAGGUACCAAAACAUCUGUGCAUGUAUCUAUUUGCGGGUUGGUUAUGUAUUUCCAUAAAGCAAAACUUUCUUUAAAAUAUUCUGCAACAGGAAGAAACCAUUUUGGAUCUUUAUCACUUAAGGACAUAAUCACUUCUUUGUCCUAUAUCCUUUCUCUGUUUUUUACCCUCAGUAUUUGUUUUGGAAUCAUUUUUUCUUCUUCUCUUUCUCUUCUCCUGGAAAAUUAUUACAGGAAUAACCAGAAACAAGCAAUAAUUAUAGUAACACAUUACAAAAUAAG